rnacentral:rRNA from 1 species
AUGGCUGUCGUCAGCCCGUGUCGUGAGAUGUUGGGUUAAGUCCCGCAACGAGCGCAACCCUCGUCGUUAGUUGCCAGCAUUAAGUUGGGCACUCUAGCGAGACUGCCGGUGACAAACCGGAGGAAGGUGGGGAUGACGUCAAGUCAGCAUGCCCCUUACGUCCUGGGCUACACACGUACUACAAUGCUGUGGACAAAGAGUUGCCAACCCGCGAGGGC